rnacentral:lncRNA from 1 species
UCAGACUAUAAUAUUUAUGCUUCUUUUAAGAUCUGCAGUUGGACAGGAUAGAGGCGAUAGGAAAAUCAAGCACUGUUUUUUUGUUACAGNCUACAUAAUUCGCAGUCACAACGGUAUGGCUGUAUUAUAACGCCUCCUUCCCAUCAUUGCACAACAGGCAGGCCUGGCACCUCCCACUCUUAUUAUUAUUGGAAUAUUGACNGUAUUUUUAUCUUGCUUUUCUUCCAUAUACAGCUCAAAAAAAGCACCAAACGAGCACCGAGGGNAAAAGGGAUUGCAAGUUUUUUCUGAUAGACUGCAAAUCCCAUCAGCCCUUGCCUGUAAACGUGACGCGCUUCGUGCUCAUGCGCAGUCGCCACCCCCUCGACCCAGCACUUGGUCUCUUUAACUCCCCUCNCUCGCUUAGCAUAGCACGUGGAUAAGGCACGUGACUCUAGCGCACGUGCGUCUUUUUAAAAGCCCGUUUCCGGUCGCGGGCGCCGGUGCAUGCGCAGUGGAGUGCCAGCUGCGCAGGAAGAAACAGGGUAGACACGUGCGUUGCCGGCUGCGCUCCCUCCGCGGCGGCGGAGAACCAGGCCGGGCUUGGCGAGGAGGCAACGGCUUNCCUCAACGGAGGCGCCUCCGGGGCGGCGACGGCGGCGCCCGGUGGGCGAGCUGUGGGUGUUCGACCUGCGCGCCGACACCGAGUUUAAAGGCGCUGCAAUAUGGACGCCAGCCGGAGCGUCUUCCUUGAGCAGGUGAUGUUCGGCGGAGGUGCUUUAGGAUCUGUCAGUAUGGUGUUGUCGUUCAGGGAGAAGAUUGGUUCUGGACCUCUCUCGCACCCAGGUGAAGAAGAGAGGUGGGAAGUUUUCCAUUCCCCCAGGAAACUGGGAGAGAAAGAUAUCCAAAGGGUGAAAAGUUGCUGAACGUAGAAGGAUCCGUCCCAGCUCCUUCUUCAUAGCCUGGCCUUGGUGCUCUGGUUUCAUCUCCAUAAUCUCCA